AAUGUCAAAAUUACCCCAAUACAACCCUAACAACUCACGUCUCCUGGUCUUUUCCCACUCAAUCACCUCCAUCAGCCCAACAUCAUGCCGCCACCGUCAGUCAUCUCCAUCAGCAUUCAUUUGGGUGGUCGAUUUACAAUAAAUCUCCAUCAGCAAAUUGAUUUCUCAAACUGAUUUUCCAACUCUUUUGGACUGCCACCUCUGAUCCGCUCUUUCCACCUCCGACUGGAUCCACCGCAUCCGCCAUUGUUUCAUUGGAGGUGGAGAACUAUAUACGUGGGGAUCCAACGAAAAUGGUUGUCUUCGUAUAUAGGGUGUGAGAUCGGAAUUGCACCUCUUAUCUUUGUAGUCACAUUAAUCCAGUAUAUAUAACCGCUAAAUUUCUCAUAUCAGAAGUAUUCAUGUCAUUCGUGUGCCAGAAAGAGUUCAAGGUUCAUUCCUGAAGCAUUCUCUUUGCAAGGCACCUGGAUGUCAAGGUGUUUUGACACGAGUUUUGUUGCUUUGGUGUAUUGGACAUCCAAGCUAUGGCUACGGACAAGGUGAAAACGUAAAUAAGAAUGACAGGAAAAAUUUGCUAGAGCUACUAAGAAUCCCCAAAUUAGUCCAGUGACAAUAGCUGGGUCAUCAUGGACAUUUUGAUGAACCAUGACGUUAGUGGCCCGGGUUCAAUUGGAGUCUUCAAAAACCAGUUCGUUGACGAUCCAAAGCCGCGAAUGGUGGUGUUAUUGCAAAUGAAAUGAAUUUACCAAUUACCAUCCAUCUUGGCUCACGAGAUAUCUAUACUGUCAUGAUCUAUAAAGUUGGGCAUAUCUCGGGUGCACAUAUGAACCAUACAGUCACCAUAGCUUUUGCAUUUGUUAGACCCGUGGAAGCGAGUUCUAGUGGAAUGAACAAGGCGACAAUGCAGACAACCAAAAAUUGUGAAAGCAUUUGGUUGGAUCGUAGGUAUGAUUGGAUUUAUUUUUUGCAUGUUUUUUAUUUUGUAUGGUUUUAGAUAUGAUUUCAUUCAUAGUUAAUAGUUUAAGUGCUAAUAAUAGUCAAGUUUGUAGAUUUCGAAGCAGAUGGAUCGAAAAUCCUCAUGUUAGUCAUCGUUGUGGAAUGAAUAAAAUAGUUUAGUAUUAUGUGAAGUUAUUUAAUAGGGGAAUGGUAGUCGCCCAAACAUAAGAGCCCAACAUAAAAAUACAACAGAAACUGAUUUCUCAAACGAAGUAGCAGAGACUGUUAAUUGAAGGGGUGGAGGUUGUUAUUGCUCUAAAUGUUUUUUCUCUUUUUUGUAUCAUCUUACAUUUGACACUUAUCUUGCUGACAAAUUACAACAUAAGAAUUGAGACUACGAUAUACGUCUUUUGACAUGGCCUCUGCUAGCGUGUUGUAUGGCACUAUGGCUAUGCAUACCCAUCAUUUUGUAUAUAGUUGCAGGUGAAUAGUGUUUUGGAUUGUUGCUGGAGUUGUUG